CCUGCGUGCUCUCUGUGACUGGGUUCUCAGUUCCUGGUGUUUAUUGUGAUCGUCCUUGGCUGCAUUCGUCUUCUUCCUUCCGCCCGCCCAGACUGGGUAAAAUCUUGCGGAGCAGACGCGUCGGGGAGACGCUUCCAGCGCCCUGAUCAAGCACAUUGGAGCCCCGCUCAGGGAAGCCUGGUCCGUUGGACCCAGCUCACAAUCCCCAGCCCUAAGCGCAGCCUCCCUGUGCAGGAGCCACCCGCGAAGGCAAAAUCUCUGAAGAUGUCUUCUAAUAAUGACCAGGUUGUUAUCCCAAUGCUACGAAGACACACCAAUGGCCUUCCUGAGAUGAUCUCUACUGAUGGGGAGACAAUUACCCAAGGAGCUGUGUUGAGUUUUCAUAACAUCUGCUAUAGAGGGCUAGAGAAGAGAGGCUCUCUACUGCGACGAAGAACAGUUGAGAAAGAAAUACUAUCGAAUAUCAGUGGGAUCAUGAAACCUGGCCUCAAUGCCAUCAUGGGACCCCCAGGUGGAGACAAAUCUUUGAAGACAAGAAUUGAGGAAUCCACAACAUAGAACCAAACUGGUUUUUGUUAGUUAAAUUCACGUGCCUAUAGACACUCAAGAGGGGAAAGCAAAUGUUCUUCCUGCACUACAGACAAAAAAGGUCAAGGAAUGAGUCUGUGAGCUAAGUCUGAAACUGUAGAGAUUAGGCAGGACCAGCUAGAGGCAUGGAACUUGCAAAGUUAAAAAUUAUCAAUUUCCUUUUAUCCACAAAGUACACAACAAAUUACUUAUAAUAAUAUUAUUCUACAUUUAUAAAAAGAAGUCUACAAAAAAGAUUGCCCAAAGCAGCUCAUAUAAUGUUUUGCAUCUUUCUACUUUCAUCAGUAACACAUAGGGAAAGUAUAUUCUGUUCACUAUCUAGAUACAUUCAGUAGAUACUUAGUACGUGAAAUGGUAAUGUGACAGAGAAAUUAAAUUUUUAACAUUACUUGAUUUCAAUUCAACUUCCAUGUGUCUGGGGCUACCAUAUUGGUGAUGCAGGUGAUGAUUUUAAAUUGUAUUUCCCAUUAUCAGUUUAUUUAUAAAUAAAGCAAUUUUGUAAAGCCAUAAAAGAUACAUACAUUUGGCAUAUCUUAUAACAAAUUCUUUUCUAGGUUUCAAAAGAGUACAAUGUUAUGAUAGUAUAAUCUUUCUUUCAAAAAUAAGAAAGUGCUAAAAAAAAUAAAACUAGGGAAGUGAGAAAUUUCUGUUAGGUCAGUCCUCAAGAAAAUGAGAUCAAACAUAUCAUGACAGAAAAGAUUAAGAAAAACAGACAUUAAGUUAAUUAUCCAUCAAACACAGGAAGACUUAUGAAUCUUCCUCUAAUGCAAUGCUGGGGCUGUAUUGAUUACAAGGGGGAAAGCAUACACCAAGUAUUCACUAUAAUAACCUAUGAGAACCUUUACUUAAUUAGCAUAGUAAAAAAUCACAUCCUGGUGCAGAAACCUAAGGUGAUAAUGAUAUAAGCAUCUCAUGAAGACCCAUGAUGAAGGCAAGCUCAGGUGCAACUAAGACUCCACACCUACAUGUAAUGACACAAAGAAGACAAAGUCCCUGCAUGCCCUAGAGAUGCUAUAAAAGCUGUGCACUUCUCUUAGGGAAUCUGCCUGGGAAUUCUGUCCUCACCUGCUGCUUCCCUGGUUUCAGAGAAUAAAAAUAAAACUCUAUUGUUAUUGCAAUAUAGUGUUCCUGCCUUGAUUCUUAUUCUGCAGGCUCAGUAACAAAAGUACCAUAUGCUUCAGUUUAGGAAAAACAAACUUAUAAAAAAUGGAAGUGUGGCAAAGUCUAAAAGAAAAUGCUUCUAUUUUUGUAAAACUGUCCGUUAUUAGCUAAACUCAAUCUUCUUCCUCAAGCAAAAUAAAUGUGGUAAAUCCCCCAAAAUUUAACAAGAUCUAUGAACAGAAUUUAUAUAGCUUACAAAAAAGAAUUAUCAUUCAUGAAGUUAGUUUCAUACAUUUGUGUUCAAAAUCUCCAAUAGCACUGGGAAGCCAAUGAAAACAGAAACUACUUCAAUAACAAUGUAAACCCAUAUAAACCCUUCCAGAAAUCCUCCAGGGCUUUCCUAUAAAGCAACCAAAUAUCCCUAGCCAUGUAUGUGGAUAUUUGGAGUACUACUUCAACAAUUUAGCAUUAAAAUGUCCUACAAGCCCAGCUCAUAGAGCAGGAAUUUUCACCUUCUCUUGCUCUUUGCCCUCAGCUAUCUCCUACAAGUAAAUAAAAGAACCAUAUUUACAAAAGCAUCAGCUUUAGACUUUACUGAGAAACUGAAAUUUCAAAAAAUCAUAUCAGCAUUUUAAAACUGAAGGUGCUAGCAGAUGUUAGUUAUCAUAAAAGUAUUCGUAUUAUAUUGUCCACUAUUUUUCAAUCCUUCAGAUCUCUUCAUACUUUAUCCUUAAUGAUUCAUAUAGAGAGAAACAUGAAAUCAUGAUAAUCCACAGUUAUUAUAAUCACUAGCGAAAAGUCACUAGCAAUCCUGUUAAGGAGUACACUUUUAAAACUCCUCUGGGGAUGUUCAAUUCUGGUAGGGUUACUGAAUCUAGAUUUGGAAGCACAUCCCCCAGAAAAACUAAAGACGAAUGUUUGGGAGAAAGAAAGGCUUUAUUCAGUGGCCAAAGAAUGGAGAAGAAACAGCUUUGCUCACAAGUCACCUUUUUAGUUCCAGAGCAGAUUGACUGACAUCCAGGGAAGCCAUGCCCAUCUCAUGAGCUGUGUGGGGGUCAUAGGCAAAACAAGUGAAAAGACCAGAGCCAGGCCCACCCAAAAAGAGGGGCAAAGAGGGCGCUCAGUGCUCAUAGUUCACACACACACACAGCCCGUGACUGGCUUGCUACAUCUCCAUAUUCUCAUCACUCAAGGCUAAGGGGCGUGCACGGUUCCUAUCUGGAAGCUCCUGACAUGGGAACUAUAAUGUCCCUAUAUCAUGGUUAGGGGAGAAACAUUUCUCAAAUGAUCAACAUGUCUAUAUACAGGGCUGAGGAGAAUCUGACCCAAUGGUUAAGGUGACAAAGAAGAGACACAACAUGAAGACACACCAAGCAGUUUCAUUUCAUUCUGUCACCUACUGAACAUCUGCAGGCCCAAGUAUAGAGUCAAUGUUUUCAGCAAAAGUGUCCUUUAGGUGCUUGAAGAGUAACCUAGGCAACAAUUAUCAUAGUAAACCACACCUCAAAAGUGUUAUCUAUCACAAAGCUGUUAGUUAGUAAUUCAUAAUGGGCAGUGGAAUGCAAACCAACAAUAUAGCAGAGUCAUGGGGUUUAUUUAAAUUGCCUUUAAAACGAAUGAAUAAGGGCUAGGAUUGUAGCUCAGUGGUAGAGCACUUGCUUAGCAUGUGUGAAGCACUGGGUUCGAUUCUCAUCACCACAUAUAAAUAAAUGAAUGAAAUAAAGGUCCAUCAACAGCUAAAAAAAAUUUUUAAAAAAAUGAAUAAUUGAGUGAUAUAUAGGAAAACAACAGAUGUACUAACCCUGAAAAUAAAUGGGUGGGAACAAAGGGAGCCAAUUAAAAAAUAUGUCAAGAAGGAAAGAUGGAUGGGGCUAACCCCUGAGAUUAUUAUAAAGUUAGGAUUUAUGGCCAUAAGUUUCUAAAUAUACACCAAAAGGGAAAUUUAUGUAGUAUUGUAGGUGCACUAAGAUUAAGUUUGCUUGGUCAUUGUCCACAGUACCCACAUUAACAUAGGACUGACUUAUAAUUAGAGCCCACCUGAAUGGGAUGGUUGCCAAGACAGUUCCAGAAAAGACCAACUAGGGUCCUUUUAUUCACAUGAAUGAAAUUAACUCCUUCCCUUUGUCCUAGGAGCCAGUCUGACACUGUGGUCAGUGCAGUAUCUCCCUUCUCAAAGUAGAAGGCUAACUUGUUUUUAUUUCUGUCAUCACAAAUUAAAGUUCUGCAUCACUUCCAGCAUGAACACCCUACCCACCUCAAUUCCUACUACCUCACAUUCAUUUAAUAACAGAGUGGAGACACAGCUCCGUUCCUGGUGGAACACAAAACCUAGGUAGCAGGAGUGUCUACAGUUUCUAGAGGAAACAAAUCAAGUAAAUAGAAAAAGGAGAAAGGAGAUGAGAAAAGACUGACGUAGUAAAUGAUGCAAAGUCCAUAAAAUGAAAGAGAUAUUGGGAAAUGCAUGCAGUUGGAAUUUCGUUUUCAGAGGCAGUAAGAAAGUGAGGUUACAGAGAUCAGCAAAGGUUGUCAAGAGCAGCAUGCCUGCCCAGGGGCUAAGUCUUGACAUUGGCCCUCUUGGAAGGGUCCCUACCUUCUCCUCACAUCCUGAUCCUUCCAGCAGAGGAUCUUUGGGAAAUUAAUGACUCAAAUAAAUUGAUGACUUAUUACCAAAGAAGAUAAAAGUGUGUUUUUGUAGGGCAUUCAUGCCCUCUACUCACAGUUUAGCAUAAUCUUUGCUGUUUUUGUCUUUUUCACUGGAAACACAACAACAGUAAAAAAAAAAAAGUAUGGUAAACAGUAAAAUUCACCCUCUUUAAGUGUAGUUUUCCAACUUUUGAAAAUAGUCUUGUGAGUGAGACCAUCAGGAUCAUUGCCAUCACCUCUCAAAGAAAAACCACUUCCCUGCUAAAGUACAACACAGUGACCACAGAUAAAAAGUAUGUACUGUGUACUUCAAAAAGUUAAAAUUUUAAAUGUUUUCAACAAAAAAUUAUAAAUGUUAGAGGAAACGAACAUGUUUAACCUGAUCUAAACAUUACACAAUGUGUACAUGUAUUGAAAUCUCAUCUUGUAGCCCAUUAAUAUGUAUAACGUUUAUGUUUUGAUCUAUUAAAAAUAAACUUACUUGAGAUUUUAAAAAUGUUUAAAAAUGUACUAAAAAAAAGAAAGAAAAACAAACAAACAAAAAAGAAGGUGAAGGAAAAAGAAAAAACCUCUUUCUACCAUAGUCUGUGAUAACGACUGGUCUCCUUUCUGUCCCUUUUUCAACUUAACAUAAGUCCUCUCUUUAAAUAGAUGCCAAUGAGCACAAAAUUCCAUGACUAUUCUAUUUUCCUUUUAUUUUCCCACAAAAUGUGCAAGAAUCUUUCCCAAAUUAAUCUGUAACAGAAAACCAAAACUUCAGAAAAUACAUAGUCCAAUUAUAAUUAAAAGGACUGAAACCAAGCACAGUUUAUAUGUGUGUUGCAUCUCAAAUUUUCUUAAUCUCAUCUGUAACUUGGCCAGCAGUUCUCCAGAGGACACUGAGGUGCUCCUUUCCUGAACUGCUCAUAAUCUAGGGAUUUUGCUGCCUAAUCCAGGGAUGGAGUUUGAGUUUCUUAUAUCCUUUAAGUUUACUGGGCAUGUGACUUGUAAGAAAGCUACCUAGUUAAAUCUUCCAAAUCUACUUCUCACCUGUAAAAUCAAUUUAGAAUAUCCUGUGCUUGCACCACAUGGCAGGCACUGGAGGGACAGGAAUGAACAACACAACAUCCAUGAGGUUGUCUCUGAAAUCCAUGAGGUUAUUAUGGAGUGUUAAUAUUAUAGAUGCAGGGAAGAGGUUAGGCUUCACCACUUAAAACCCUCCACGAUGGAGGGAGAUCCUCAUUGUUAUACAAAAUUACAUAUAAGAGGUUGUGAGGGGAAUGGGAAAAUAAAUAAGGAGAGAAAUGAAUUACAGUAGAUGGGGUAGAGAGAGAAGAUGGGAGGGGAGGGGAGGGGAGAUAGUAGAGGAUAGGAAAGGUAGCAGAAUACAACAGUUACUAAUAGGGCAUUAUGUAAAAAUGUAGAUGUGUAACCGACGUGAUUCUGCAAUCUGUAUUUGGAGUAAAAUUGGGAGUUCAAAACCCACCUGAAUCAAAUGUAUGAAAUAUGAUAUGUCAAGAGCUUUGUAAUGUUUUGAACAACCAAUAAAAAAAAAUAAAAAAUAAAACCCUCCACGAAUAUGUGAGGUCAAACUGGCAGGAAAAUUGGUUUUAUUCUAAGUCAGCUUUGAAAGCAGAUAGAAAAAAACUUUUUGUUUUAAAAUUUCCAUCUUUAGAGGCUUUACGAUGAAGAAUGAUUUUAAAAGAAAAAAGCAGCAAAACGAGACAAAAAGUGGGAAAUAUGCAUAUGUAGAUUCAGUUAGCUUGGGCUAGACCAGUCUAGAAAGGGGGCAAUCUCCAUUCUCAUCUUCAGUUGCACUCCCCCAACUCCCCACACCCUGUGUGGGGCAGGCAGCACUUCAACUUUAUUCUCACUAUGAAAAAAAGGAUGCAGAAAAACUUAUAAGGAAGUUGUCCUUAAUUUCAAUGUCAUAAGGUUACUUAUGAAAAAUGUCCCCACUCCGAUAAAAUGGGAAAAAAAAUCAAGAGUACAGGUAGUCAGGAAAGAGUUGUCAAGUGAGGCUUUUGAGGAGUCACCUGAGGGUAGCCAUCUGGAGUAGCAGUGCAAGUCCAAGUGCUAGUCUAAAGACCAGCCAAGGGGUUCGUCAGAGGGCCCAAAGAGUGACGGAAAUCAAGAGGACAGGGGAUAAGUUCAGAGGAAGGGCAGCUAAGGCAGAGCCCACAACUGACCACCUUAAUGACUUCAGCUCUGACUCCAAAUGAGACUGGGAGGCACCAGAAAGUUCUGAGUGAUGUAAUUACACUUAUAAGGAUCAUAAUAAUUUAGGUUGGGGUGGGGAUGAAGGAAGGAGACCAUAUAAGACUACUGUAAUAAUCCAAGAGGCAAGAUGGCAACACUGUACUGAACCCCUCCUCUGUCACAUAUGAAAGCUCCUGAACAUCUUAUUUAUAUCUGUUGUCCUAUAGUGCAGCACCAGACACAAAACACUCAAGAACUAUAAAAAUAGAAGUAGCACCAGGAUUCCCAGCUACACCCCUGAGGAUGCAGAGAUGCAGAACUCUCUCUGUUCCCACAAGAAGGUGAGAGUGGAGGUAGAGAAGAAUAGAACUCUAGCAGGAGGAGGAUCCUCAUUUCCACAGCAAGGUGGGCAGAGGCCCAGGAGAGCCACCACUCUUUCUCCUCUCCAUCACAAGGCCAGCACUACCAAACCGGCACUAUGGGAAGAUGAACAGCAGGAGAGAGGGGUUAUUUGAGAAUUUUAAAAUCCAAAAGUCUAGGGACAAAUAAGAGGAACAGGCAGAUUUCUAGCUGAAACUCUAAGAAUUUACUGGAAGCCACACAGCACUGGGUCUAAUAUGUUUCUAAUGUACAUCUACCACAUUAAGGUCAAUAUCCUCUUUCCUACCAGUUUAUAGUUCAAUAAUCAUAAUCACAGACACUUACAUUGUGAACAGAAAAUCAUAAGUGAAUAGUAGCACAACUUCUCAAAAAUUCUGAUGAGACCUGUAAUAAGAAAUAGAUUUUUUCCAUCAUAAUCCAGUAUACAAAAUGUGUGUGAGAGUGUGUGUGUGCAUGUGCUCUAUAAAACCACAGAGGGCUCAUAAUUAUUGAGAGAGACCCUCUAAUCCAUGAGCAUAUUGUCUCAAGCCAAUGGUGUCUCGUUAUAUACAAAGGACCAUACCAUUGCUAGUAGGACUAACAAUGAAAAAGACUGAAGUUAGGGGCCCUUCUAAACUUGACAGCAACUUACUCAUACUGAGAGUAAAGGCUGAAAUGCUGACCCCGCCCCAGCCUAGGGGAAGCCAAAGAAGCUGACUGACCCCUGCCCAGGCCUGUCUAGCAUGGGUUAUGUAUAUUGUGAGAUAAUUUUUUCUCACUUCUC